rnacentral:tRNA from 1 species
GCCGAUUUGUUCGAGUGGUUAGAAGGUAGUCUGCAAAACUACAUACACGGGUUCGAUCCCCGUAAUCGGUUC